CGGACGGGUGAGUAACGCGUGAGAAUCUGCCUCCAGGUCGGGGACAACAGCGGGAAACUGCUGCUAAUCCCGGAUAAGCCCUAGGGUAAAAGAUUUAUUGCCUGGAGAGGAGCUCGCGUCCGAUUAGCUAGAUGGUGAGGUAAGAGCUCACCAUGGCGACGAUCGGUAGCUGUUCUGAGAGGAAGAUCAGCCACACUGGGACUGAGACACGGCCCAGACUCCUACGGGAGGCAGCAGUGGGGAAUUUUCCGCAAUGGGCGAAAGCCUGACGGAGCAAGACCGCGUGCGGGAAGAAGGCCCUUGGGUCGUAAACCGCUUUUCUUAGGGAAGAAGCUCUGACGGUACCUAAGGAAUCAGCCUCGGCUAACUCCGUGCCAGCAGCCGCGGUAAUACGGAGGAGGCAAGCGUUAUCCGGAAUUAUUGGGCGUAAAGCGUCCGCAGGCGGCUUAUCAAGUCUGCUGUCAAAGACUGGGGCUCAACCCUGGGGAGGCAGUGGAAACUGAGAAGCUAGAGUGCAGUAGGGGUAGGGGGAAUUCCCAGUGUAGCGGUGAAAUGCGUAGAGAUUGGGAAGAACACCGGUGGCGAAAGCGCUCUACUGGGCUGUAACUGACGCUGAGGGACGAAAGCUAGGGGAGCGAAAGGGAUUAGAUACCCCUGUAGU
rnacentral:rRNA from 1 species